rnacentral:rRNA from 1 species
CCCUUAGAUGUCCGGGGCCGCACGCGCGCUACACUGUAGAUCGCAGCGAGUGUAGUUUCUGUCCCUCCCGUAGCCGGGUGGGUAAACCAUUGAAAGAUCGAACGUGGCUUGGGAUCGGGCCUUGAAAUUAUUGCCCGUGAACGAGGAAUUCCCAGUAAGCGCGAGUCAUAAGCUGGCGUUGAUUACGUCCCUGCCCUUUGUACACACCGCCCGUCGCUACUACCGAUUGAAUGGUUUAGUGAGAUCUUCGGAUUGGAGUCCUCGGUGGCGGCGACGUCGCCUUGGACAACCGAAAAGUUGAGCUAACUGAAUUAUUUAGAGGAAGUAAAAGUCGUAACA